GCAACCACACCAGCUGCCACGUACCUAGAGUGCCUAGCUGCUUCUACAUAUCUGCAAGUGAAGCUGCAUCCACAAGAACCUCCUAUAGAGUCUGUACUCAACCUCAGACGGGAAUUAUUCCGCCCAAGCGUAUAAGUUGGAGCUGCACCUAAGCUCCUAUAAAGUGUGAGUGCAUAUCAUUUUAUUUACCCUCACCUUACUAUAUUUUUUACGUACUUCCCUAUCAAAUUCCUAUUUCUCCUCUUUUUAUGGUUAUACAAGGACAUUCCAGGCGCUGCACCACCCUCUCUGUCUUUAUCUGCUUUACUAUGGGACAAAAAAGAGACCCCGGAUUUGGUGACGUAGCUGACUUUUGGACUGUACCAGUACUGGACAAUAUCCUCUUGCUUUUAUUCAAACUAAAAGAAAUUGGUCAAGAUGAAAAUUCUUGUUCUUGGGUAGAACAAUGGCUUAAAAAUAGAUUACAG